UACAGAGGUCUCAAGCGUUGUUCGGAUUCAUUGGGCGUAAAGGGAGCGUAGGUGGCCUUAUAAGUCAGCGGUGAAAUCUCUGGGCUUAACCCAGAAAUUGCCAUUGAUACUGUAGGGCUUGAGUAUAGUUGCCGUUGGCGGAAUAUGACAUGUAGUGGUGAAAUACAUAGAGAUGUCAUAGAACACCGAUUGCGAAGGCAGCUGACGAAACUAUAACUGACACUGAGGCUCGAAAGUGCGGGGAUCAAACAGG
rnacentral:rRNA from 1 species